UUUGCAUAUCCAAUAGCGGAGGAAAAGAAACCAACAGGGAUUGCCUUAGUAGCGGCGAGUGAAGCGGCAAGAGCUCAAAUUUGAAAUCUGGUACUUUCAGUAUCCGAGUUGUAAUUUGAAGAAAGUUAUCUUGGAGUUGGCCCUUGUCUAUGUUCCUUGGAACAGGACGUCACAGAGGGUGAGAAUCCCGUGCGAUGGGGUGCCCAUUCUAUGUAAGAUACUUUCGACGAGUCGAGUUGUUUGGGAAUGCAGCUCUAAGUGGGUGGUAAAUUCCAUCUAAAGCUAAAUAUUGGCGAGAGACCGAUAGCGAACAAGUACAGUGAUGGAAAGAUGAAAAGAACUUUGAAAAGAGAGUGAAAAAGUACGUGAAAUUGUUGAAAGGGAAGGGUAUUUGAUCAGACUGAUAUUCAGUUAACACUGUUCCUUGUGGAUGGUGCUCUAGCUUUUUAUUGGGCCAGCAUCAGUUUAGGUGGCAGGAUAAGAACUGUUGAACGUGGCUCUUCGGAGUGUUAUAGCUUCAGUUGAUACUGCCUAUCUAGACUGAGGUCUGCGGCUUGCCUAGAUGCUGCGAAGACCAGCGUU
rnacentral:rRNA from 1 species